CCUACGGGAGGCAGCAGUGAGGAAUAUUGGUCAAUGGACGAGCGUCUGAACCAGCCAAGUAGCGUGAAGGAUGACUGCCCUAUGGGUUGUAAACUUCUUUUAUAAAGGAAUAAAACGAGGCACGUGUGCCUUUUCGCAUGUACUUUAUGAAUAAGGAUCGGCUAACUUCGGGCCAGCAGCCGCGGUAAUAAGGGGGGUCCGAGCGUUAUCCGGAUUUAUUGGGUUUAAAGGGAGCGUAGAUGGGUUGUUAAGUCAGUUGUGAAAGUUUGCGGCUCAACCGUAAAAUUGCAAUUGAUACUGGCAGUCUUGAGUAUAGUUGAGGUAGGCGGAAUUCGUGGUGUAGCGGUGAAAUGCUUAGAUAUCACGAAGAACCCCGAUUGCGAAGGCAGCUUACUAAACUGUGACUGACAUUGAAGCUCGAAAGCGCGGGUAUCGAACAGGAUUAGAUACCCGAGUAGUC
rnacentral:rRNA from 1 species